AACGAACGCUGGCGGCAUGCCUAACACAUGCAAGUCGAACGAGACCUUCGGGUCUAGUGGCGCACGGGUGCGUAACGCGUGGGAACCUGCCCUUAGGUUCGGAAUAACUCCCCGAAAGGGGUGCUCAUACCGGAUAAUGUCUUCGGACCAAAGAUUUAUCGCCUUUGGAUGGGCCCGCGUUGGCUUAGCUAGUUGGUAGGGUAAAAGCCUACCAAGGCGACGAUCCAUAGCUGGUCUGAGAGGAUGAUUAGCCACUCUGGGACUGAGACACGGCCCAGACUCCGGCGGGAGGCAGCAGUGGGGAAGAAUGGACCAUGGGCGAGAGCCUGAUCCAGCAAUGCCGCGUGAGUGAUGAAGGCCUUAGGGUUGUAAAGCUCUUUUACCCGGGAUGAUAAUGACAGUACCGGGAGAAUAAGCUCCGGCUAACUCCGUG
rnacentral:rRNA from 1 species